AUCACUUUAAGGGUAAAUGUAUAAAAGUAUAAUUUGAGAGUAUGCAUAGUAAAACUCCCAUCAUAAUAUGACGCGUGGAUGAGAGAAAGCACAACCUAACUCCUAUAAAUAUUUCAUCAGUUUAAUUAAUACCCCCACAAAGCCACAACCAUAGUUUGAGUUCCCAAAAAAAAAAUGCUUUGAGUUUGAAAUAGAAAUUCCUUUGUUUCAGUUGCCCAAAAAAAAAAAAAAAAAAAAAAAAAAAAACCUUUGUUUCCAGUUAAUUUAGACCGAAUAUGAUAUCAACCUGGGACUACGUGGUGGGAGGGAUUUAAAGUCUUCGAACUUAACUAUCAUUCAAAACUUCAUACUUGAAAGCCUUCCACUUCAGAAACUUCGAAACAUCUCAAUUAUGGCCAAAACAUUCAGGUUUGGCAAAACAGAAUUAAAAACAUUUUCUGAAGAACACCACUUCAGAACUUCUCUGAGAGAUAAUCUCAUAGAAGAGCAACAAUGUCUUAUCGACAAUUUAUGGAAUUUGCCCAGUCUUCCCCAGGUAAAACGUAAAAAAGCAGCAUUCAUCCAUGCUCUUGUACACUACCUUUCUUGGGGGAAACAACCCUUCACUUGUUAUGUACUUUAUACUGGCCCUUGGCCGGGAGUAUACUUAACACUGGAAGAAAUUGAAUCACUUCCGGGAUAUGAACGGCCCGAAUAUGAAGGAUUCUACAAAAUUGAAGAGGCCUUCGAAUCCGCAAUUAAAAAAUGCGGGGAAAAAAUCACCUUUCCUGAUAACUAUAUGCUUUCUCAGGAAAUUUCAGGAAGGAUUAAAAUUUAUAAAAACAUAUUUUCUACAUGAACUUUUUUAAACUGAAUUGGAAAUUCACACAGUACACUUUUUUAAACAUCUUCUUGACUUUUUCCUCUAUUCAAAAGGGGAAUUUAGAAGAACUGGAUGGUCUGAUCUUAUUAGACCAUUUACUACAUUUACUGACAAAUUUGAAGCUCCUCAAACUUCUUCAAAGGGUUAAGGAGUAUACUUUUAGAAAACCCAAAACUUUCAAAGACAACAUUUGACACUUUUUACUUUGAAAACCCAAUUAAAAUUUCACUUUACCCAAACUUUGAACAGAACAUUCCUUCACUCCAUCUGAUAGAUGCCUCCUUCCAAGGCAUAGAUGAUGGAUAUUCAGACUUCUCACAGUCCAAAAAUAUUGGACCAAACACUAUUAAAUUUCAAGAACCAUACAAACUAUUGCCACAGAUUUUGUAUGGAAAAGGAAAAAAAAUUGUAUCACAAUUUUUUUUCUUGAACAUUCUAGACUCCGGCUGGUAAAUUUACACUGCAAACAAUUACAAAGGCAAGUCAGCUCAGUAUUUGGAUCCAAGACACACUUCUUUUGACUUAUCAAAAAAAAAAAAAAGAGGAGAUGUGCCUGAAAGAAAGAAGAUAACAUUUGCUACAUUUUGAUAAUUGGAAGUCCACAUCAGCCGUAACUUUUGACAUUUGGACACUGAAGGAGACUAAAGGGCGAUGAAGUGAUAGCUAGCCUUGAAAAAUAAGGCAAAGAAAGGGCAUGUCCCUUUCAACUUUAUUAUAUACUAUGUGUGUAUGAAUGUAUGUUUGUGUGUUUUUUUUAUGAAUGUAUGUGUGUUAAGGAAUAGAUCUUUUAAAAAAUAAAGUUAAGAAAGGAGGCAUGUUCCUUUCAAUAUAUGUGUGUCGAUAUGCGUAUGUGUGUUAAGGAAUAUAGAUCUUUUAAAGAAUAAGGCUAAGAAAGGAGGCAUGUUCCUUUCAAUAUGUGUGUCUUAAGAAAUAAACUUUUCAAGCUAGACUUUAUACUUA